rnacentral:rRNA from 1 species
UACAUAGGGUGCAAGCGUUGUCCGGAAUUAUUGGGCGUAAAGAGCUCGUAGGCGGUCUGUCGCGUCGGCUGUGAAAUCCCGAGGCUCAACCUCGGGUCUGCAGUCGAUACGGGCAAACUAGAGUAUUGCAGGGAGACUGGAAUUCCUGGUGUAGCGGUGAAUGCGCAGAUAUCAGGAGGAACACCGGUGGCGAAGGCGGGUCUCUGGGCAAUAACUGACGCUGGAGGAGCGAAAGCGUGGGAGCGAACAGG